AGUUUGAUUCAUGGCUCAGGACGAACGCUGGCGGCGUGCUUAACACAUGCAAGUCGAACGAUGAAGCCCAGCUUGCUGGGUGGAUUAGUGGCGAACGGGUGAGUAACACGUGGGUGAUCUGACCUGCACUUCGGGAUAAGCCUGGGAAACUGGGUCUAAUACCGGAUAGGACCUCGGGAUGCAUGUUCCGGGGUGGAAAGGUUUUCCGGUGCAGGAUGGGCCCGCGGCCUAUCAGCUUGUUGGUGGGGUAACGGCCCACCAAGGCGACGACGGGUAGCCGGCCUGAGAGGGCGACCGGCCACACUGGGACUGAGACACGGCCCAGACUCCUACGGGAGGCAGCAGUGGGGAAUAUUGCACAAUGGGCGCAAGCCUGAUGCAGCGACGCCGCGUGAGGGAUGACGGCCUUCGGGUUGUAAACCUCUUUCAGUACCGACGAAGCGCAAGUGACGGUAGGUACAGAAGAAGCACCGGCCAACUACGUGCCAGCAGCCGCGGUAAUACGUAGGGUGCGAGCGUUGUCCGGAAUUACUGGGCGUAAAGAGCUCGUAGCCGGUUUGUCGCGUCGUCUGUGAAAACCCGCAGCUCAUCUGCGGGCUUGCAGGCGAUACGGGCAGACUUGAGUACUGCAGGGGAGACUGGAAUUCCUGGUGUAGCGGCGAAAUGCGCAGAUAUCAGGAGGAACACCGGUGGCGAAGGCGGGUCUCUGGGCAGUAACUGACGCUGAGGAGCGAAAGCGUGGGUAGCGAACAGGAUUAGAUACCCUGGUAGUCCACGCCGUAAACGGUGGGCGCUAGGUGUGGG
rnacentral:rRNA from 1 species